AUUGAACGCUGGCGGCAGGCCUAACACAUGCAAGUCGAGCGGAUGAAGGGAGCUUGCUCCUGGAUUCAGCGGCAGACGGGUGAGUAAUGCCUAGGAAUCUGCCUGGUAGUGGGGGAUAACGUCCGGAAACGGGCGCUAAUACCGCAUACGUCCUGAGGGAGAAAGUGGGGGAUCUUCGGACCUCACGCUAUCAGAUGAGCCUAGGUCGGAUUAGCUAGUUGGUGGGGUAAAGGCCUACCAAGGCGACGAUCCGUAACUGGUCUGAGAGGAUGAUCAGUCACACUGGAACUGAGACACGGUCCAGACUCCUACGGGAGGCAGCAGUGGGGAAUAUUGGACAAUGGGCGAAAGCCUGAUCCAGCCAUGCCGCGUGUGUGAAGAAGGUCUUCGGAUUGUAAAGCACUUUAAGUUGGGAGGAAGGGCAGUAAGUUAAUACCUUGCCGUUUUGACGUUACCAACAGAAUAAGCACCGGCUAACUUCGUG
rnacentral:rRNA from 1 species